rnacentral:rRNA from 1 species
UGGAAAGGGGGAGGGAUGCUUAACACAUGCAGGUCGAACGGUAACAGGUGUAGCAAUACAUGCUGACGAGUGGCGGACGGGUGAGGAAUGCUUGGGAAUCUGCCUGUUAGUGGGGGACAACCCGGGGAAACUCGGGCUAAUACCGCAUACGCUCUACGGAGGAAAGCGGGGGACCGUAAGGCCUCGCGCUAACAGAUGAGCCCAAGUCGGAUUAGCUAGUUGGUGGGGUAAAAGCCUACCAAGGCGACGAUCCGUAGCUGGUCUGAGAGGACGAUCAGCCACACUGGGACUGAGACACGGCCCAGACUCCUACGGGAGGCAGCAGUGGGGAAUAUUGGACAAUGGGGGCAACCCUGAUCCAGCAAUGCCGCGUGUGUGAAGAAGGCCUGCGGGUUGUAAAGCACUUUUGGCAGGGAUGAAAAGCACUGGAUUAAUAACCCAGUGUGUUGACCUAACCUGCAGAAGAAGCACCGGCUAACUCUGUG